GCCACAGUUCACCAACAGUUUAGUUCAACUGUCAUUUUAACGGCCACCAUUUUGUCACAUCUUUCUUGGGGCAAAUGUUGGCAGUACAUAUUUUAUCCUUUCUCCCCAGCGGCCUUCUCGCAGCCAUGUAACGAACAGAAGCUGGAAAACUGGACGUCUUCUCAAUCUGAUAUUCAUGCAAGCAAGUAACAACAAGGUCAAUUUGCUCAGAAAGGUACGUCAAAUAUUCAUCUUGAUUCUAUCCCAACUUCACGCUAACUCCAUCCAGACUUUAAAAACAAUUCACUUGUUUAUCAGUAAUGGCUUUUGAGACGUUCCAGCAUCCUGUCAGUCUGUCACGCAGGCAUUCCCGCUUGUGACGUGUGUGCGAGCUGCACAGGCUCGUCAGUGAUGACGGGGCGAAGGAAAUGAGGCGUUGAGGUGUGAAAGGAAGAAAAACUUUUCUUCUGUCCUUUCACCUGAAAAUGCCGCCCAUGCAGCAGCUGAGGUCAGAAAGCGCGCACAUAAUAUACAGACACACACAAACUCAUAUGUAAGUUAAAAUGUACACGCACACCUCACUGUUCUGUAGAUGCAUGUGCACACACUCAGACAAAUAUGCCCCAUAAACACUCUUUACUCUAAAUCCGGUCUCUGCAGUCGUUCAU
rnacentral:lncRNA from 1 species